AUCUGCCUGGCUCAGUUGGUAGAGCAUGUGACUCUUGCUCUCAGGUUCAUGAGUUUGAGUCCUAUGGGGGAUG
rnacentral:tRNA from 1 species